rnacentral:siRNA from 1 species
AACGCUCUCCAGUAACAAAGUA